GUGAGGAAUAUUGCGCAAUGGGGGAAACCCUGACGCAGCGAUGCCGCGUGGGUGAAGAAGGCUUUCGGGUCGUAAAGCCCUGUCAGGUGGGAAGAAUAGCCUCUUAGUGAAUAGGUAAGAGGUGUGACGGUACCACCGAAGGAAGCACCGGCUAACUCCGUGCCAGCAGCCGCGGUAAGACGGAGGGUGCAAGCGUUAUUCGGAAUCAUUGGGCGUAAAGAGCGUGUAGGCGGUCGAUUAAGUCAGGUGUGAAAGCCCGGGGCUCAACCCCGGAAGGGCACUUGAAACUGAUCGGCUUGAGUCCGGGAGAGGGAAGCGGAAUUCCUGGUGUAGAGGUGAAAUUCGUAGAUAUCAGGAGGAACACCGGUGGCGAAGGCGGCUUCCUGGACCGAGACUGACGCUGAGACGCGAAAGCGUGGGGAGCAAACAGGAUUAGAUACCCCUGUAGUCC
rnacentral:rRNA from 1 species